UGCUCUUACCCUCUUGCCUCGCCCGCUGGCUUCUGGUGAGCCUGAGGGUGUUGUGCCAGCUCUGGGCAGGCGGAGAGAGGUUCUGGGACCUGCUGGGGGCAGCCUGUGCUGAGGGGCUUACAUUUUUGACCCCUGAGGAGGAGAGAGGCAGCAGGCCCCAACACUGGACACCCGCAGCCCCCAGAGUUCCCUGGCCCUGCACAUGUCCGCUGUCACGGGCCCUUCCUCCAUGAAAUACAUGCAAACUUCUACUUCAUGCCUGUGUUGGUAUAAAGUGAUUUUAUGCUCUUCUGGCCUAGAGGACUUGGUUCCAGAGGGAGGAAUGCCUCCACAAGGAGACACAAUGAUGAUUCCAUUGAACUGGAAGUUAAGACUGCCACCUGGUCACCUUGGGAUCCUCUUGCCUAUGAGUCAACAGGCAAAAAAGGGAGUUAGGGUGUUGGCUGGAGUGAUUGAUCUGACUACCCUGGGGAAAUUGGACUGCUACUCCACAAUAGAGGAAUGAAACACAAAAAAGAUGGAUUCCCUUCCUCCUUGGCUGCUGUUGUUCCCGGUGCUGUGGCAGUUGUCCUGUGCCCCUGAAGGAAGCCAGAGUCCACGGAGAACUGCAGAGUGCCUGGUGACACUGCUGAGCAGCUAACCAUCUCUAGAGUGGUCUUGUCUCUGGACUUCUUGUUACUGCAGAUGACAAAUUUCUUUAUUGUUUAAACUAGUUUAAACUAUGACACUAUUUUUGUUCUCUCUCUCUCUCAGUUUUGGUUGUUUAUUUUUGUCUGCCUGCUUGCUUUUAUUACUCAUAGAUGAAUGCAAACUAACUUAUAUACUUUGAAAACUGUUGACUUAGCCCAAUCACCACUUUUCAGAGAUGAGGUGACUGAGACCGAGGGGAAUAGAGAAUGACU